GCGGGUGUGGCGGAAUUGGCAGACGCACUAGCCUUAGGAGCUAGCGCAUUAGCGUGCAGGUUCAAGUCCUGUCACCCGCACCA
rnacentral:tRNA from 1 species